GAAGAAUUUUAAAUAGGAGUGACAGCAUCACAUGUGCUUUUUAAAAAAGCCAACUUUGACAGAAAUGAGGAGGAUGGAUUAAAAUGAUGUGAAACCAAAGGAUGGAAAUCAGGAGGACACCAGGUCCCAAUCUUGGGGAUAUAGCUGCACAACACUGCAGCACAGGAAACCAGGGUUCACAUGUCCACAGCUUCAGGAGAUAGGACUAACAGAAGACAGCAACAAAGGGCUAUACUAGGUACUGAACAAAAGAAAGUACAUGGACCU
rnacentral:lncRNA from 1 species